rnacentral:rRNA from 1 species
GACGAACGCUGGCGGCGUGCUUAACACAUGCAAGUCGAACGGGCCUUGUCCCCUUUUUUUUUGGGGGUGGGGUUAGUGGCGAACGGGUGAGUAACACGUGAGUAACCUGCCCCUCACUUCUGGAUAACCGCUUGAAAGGGUGGCUAAUACGGGGUGUUCUGGCCUGCUCGCAUGGGUGGGUUUGGAAAGAUUCGACCGGUUUUGGUUGUUUUGGUGGGGGAUGGGCUCGCGGCCUAUCAGCUUGUUGGUGGGGUGAUGGCCUGCCAAGGCUUUGACGGGUAGCCGGCCUGAGAGGGUGGGCGGUCACACUGGGACUGAGACACGGCCCAGACUCCUACGGGAGGCAGCAGUGGGGAAUAUUGCACAAUGGGCGCAAGCCUGAUGCAGCGACGCCGCGUGAGGGAUGGAGGCCUUCGGGUUGUGAACCUCUUUCGCCAGUGAAGAAGGUCCUGCUCUUUGUGGUGGGGUUGACGGUGGCUGGGUUAAUGAAGCGCCGGCUAACUACGUG